GACGUAGGGCGCGAGCGUUGUCCGGAUUUAUUGGGCGUAAAGAGCUCGUAGGCGGCUUGUCGCGUCGACUGUGAAAACCCGAGGCUCAACCUCGGGCCUGCAGUGGGUACGGGCAGACUAGAGUGCGGUAGGGGAGAUUGGAAUUCCUGGUGUAGCGGUGGAAUGCGCAGAUAUCAGGAGGAACACCGGUGGCGAAGGCGGGUCUCUGGGCCGAUACUGACGCUGAGGAGCGAAAGCGUGGGGAGCGAACAGG
rnacentral:rRNA from 1 species